GAGCCAACAUGGGGCUUGAUCUCAUGCACUAUGAGAUCAUGACCUGAGCUGAAAUCAAGAGUCAGACACUUAAUCAGCUGAGCCACCCAGGCGUCCCUAAUGUGACUACCAUUAAUAAUAAUGCACAAAGUGAAAACAUCCAAAAGACACAAAGGGAGUUGUACAAUUUUCCAGUUACCCUCUCCAGCUCCCUGUUGGAGAAGAAAUGUAUUCCUAGCAUGUAUUUAUUGUAUUUGGCAGGAGGAGGGGGAAGAGAGUGAGUGGGAAGGGUGGAGGGCAUUGGCUGCUACUCUGUGGCCUGGUAUAGGGCUGCCCUUCUCAGGGUCACUCUCUUUCUUUGGCUUCCAGGCAUCAGGCCCCCUGAAAUCCCACUGACAUGCUGGUGAAGACCUUCAGGGAUGCCUUGGCUGUGGGCCUUCCAGGUCUGGGUCCUGCACUGCUGGGCCCUAGGGAGUGAGGUCCUGGGGCCCCCCAGCGCUGGCCCCCUUCCUGCCAGGUCCACUUGGGCCAGGCCUGCCUAGCGGAUGCCCAAACACUCAUUAGGCGAGAUGGGGCUGUAGGCAAAUAUUUAUUCCUGUGCAGCUGCGGGCUGAGUGGAGACCGCAGGUGCAGGGCAGAGUCCUGUUUACCCAGCAUUGAGCCGGGCAGGCGCUGCCUGUUUGCUGAGCUCUAUUCCUGGCCUGGCUUAGGUGCCCAGGAGGAAGAUGGGACAACAGAGGAUGUGGCAGGUGGGGAGCUGGGAGUGCCUCCUUGGCAGCCAAACCCUGCACAGGCCUCAGUAUAAAGGCUUGACUAGGCCCUGGGGUCAUGUGAGACUGGCCUCUUCCUCUCUCCUCUUGCAGACUUUCCGUGUGCUGCUCACUGGGGGCUGGGCGAGGGGCAGGUCUUCCUUUAACCACCUCUGCCCUGGGCUGACUCCUGGUCAUUCUUGGGUCUCCCUGACCACCUCCCACCCCAGAGUGGGUAGGUGCCCUGUUAGUGGUAGCCAUGGCCCCACAGCUCAUGGAAAUCACCUAUUCAUUUCCUCACACUUUCCUGGUUAGUGUUUGUCUUCUCUGCAUCUAACAGAAGAGCAGGGACAGAGACAGUUUUGUUCCCCACGGUUUUCCCAUCUCCUCCAUAGAGACUGGCACCUCAUAGGUGCUCACCGAAUAUUUCAGUGUUGGCCUGAGUGAAGCCAGGCAGGGGGAACUGCAUGGGCAAAAGCACAGAGGUGAGAUGGAGGGUUGAGGGGGUUGGGGUGGGAGAGGAAGCAAAGAGACCAGAGGCUGGAAAGUUAUGUCCAGGCUGGGACUCUAAAAGGCCUUGAAUGCCAUGCCAAUGAGUUUGGUUUUAUCUAGACAGAUAUGGGAAAUUGUUGGAACGUAAAGGAAAUGCAACUAAUACAGUGAGAAAAUUAUAUACUAGAUUCUUCAAGUUGAACAGUGUAAAUUCUGAGGUUCAUACAAUGGCCUGCAAGGCCCUCAUCAUCUGCUGUCUCAACUGCAUCCGCUUUCUGUCACCUUCCCCUUACUCACCUCAGCCCUGCUGGCCUUGCUGUUUCUUGAACACCAAAGGGACAUGCCAGCUGCAGGGCCAAUGCACUUGCUGUUCCUUUGUCUGGAAAGCUGUCUCCUUGGAAUCAUGAUUUACCUCUUUACUCUGUUUAAAUCUCAGCCUCCAAUGCCACUUUACCAGAGAGACCUUCCAUGAUACUGUAGACAAAAGAGCCUCAUUCCCCAGUGCUCUUAUCCUGCUUUAUUUUCUUUUGUAGUACUUGUUUCUAUUUGCUUACUGUCUGUUUCCUCCACAGGAAUGUCAGCUACAAAAAGUCAAGGUAUAUCUCUUUUGUUUACUGCUAUGUCUUCUAAGCCUAGAACUUGUACCUUUAGGCUCUAGGAAUGCCUGUCAAGUGAACGAAUGAAUGAAUGAAUGAGUGACUGUUUAACAUUAAGCCAAACCACCCGAGUCCUGUAAUGCUCCCCUGGGCCAGUGCUUUCCUGUCUCCAAAGCCCUCACACAACCAUUAGCUCCUUUGAUCUGCACAUCAGCCAGGUGGGGAACACAGGACAGGCAUUAAUAUCUGCCUUAAAAAGUGAUUAUCCAUGGCACAGAAACAUCAUGAUCACAUGGACAGAAACCAGAAUGAAAUGCCUGUAGGCUCAAGACUUUAGUAAAUCAAUUUUAAAAAUUCGAUGUGCAGGAAUUGUAGCAAAGAGGAAAGAGUCUGCAUUCUGAGCCAGGUCUUCCUUGCUUUCUUUCCUGGUCUGGCUGUUUGCUUACUCUGCGACCCAGGACAAAUCUCAGCUACUUCUCUGAGGCUUGGCCAUCCUUUCUGUAAAAUGGAGAUCAGAUUCCCUCAAACAGGUACAGUGCAGAGGCAUUUCCUGGGCCACGCUCUCUUGUGUGCAUCCUUUAUGGAGACUGUGCGGUAUUCCACAGGCUUAACCACUUGACUGUUGCCGGACAUAGUGACAGUAGCUACCAUUCGUUGAGUGCUUGAUCUUGCUGGAUGCCAGGCCAAGCAGUGUAUCUUCACUAGCUCAUUCAAUCCUUCCUGCUACUCUGGUAGGUGCUGUUAACCCCCCUGUUUUGCAGAUGAGGUUAAGUGACUUGCCCAAAGCCACACAGCCCGUAAAUGGAGGAGUCAGGAUUGGAAGCCAAGUAAUCAAACUUGAGAGCUUUAUACUCUCUGCUCUGGUAGGAUUUUUUGUCCCCAUUUUAUGGAUGAGGAAAAUGAGGCUCAGGGAAGUCCACGACUUUACCUGGGCAGAACUGGGAUGAGACAGAAACCAGAUCUUCCAAUUUUUGACCUGUGCCCUCCAGCCCACCCCUAUGCACCCUGGGGCAGUGUCUAUAUGUCUCAUUCUUCCUGAACUGGGACCAAGUGGCUGAUAAAGGAGUAGCCUUCUAGCUUCUGCCCCACAACCAGCUAAAGACUUAAGGAUGGGGUUGAGGGGAUCACUGGUAAGCCGAGGAAUCUUAGUUCUACUCUGGAAACCACUCUUCUCUCUCCCCACCUCCCGUCUCUUGCCUCCCUCCAAGAGCUCUGUACCAAUUAAUCAGCAGACAUCCAAAGCUCCAGCUGGGACCAAGUGGGCUGGACUCAUUAGUACAGAAUGACAUUAAUAUCCAAAAAAUUUCGAGACAAAUGCAAUGAUUCAGGGAAGGCGCCUGCAUAGGGAUAGCUCAGAAGUUGGUGUGGGCAAGGGAGCUGUGGUAAGGGGCAGAGAGGAAACAGUGCAGAUGUGGUAGGAGGAGAACAAGACCAGGUCCCCAAGAUGCCCGGUGGGAAGGGAGGAGACAGCAACUCUACCUUGGGCAGGGUCUAUCCUCUUGUGCAGUCUAACCCCUUCCUCCCUGGACUGUCCAAAGAGGAAUCCAGGGACUAUAAUGCCUCUUCCCCAGUGGGUCACUGUAACCUCGGGCCAGUUGGAGAGGUGGCACUAUGUGGUGGCCAGAUCCCAGCUGCAUCUCCUUUCACCUCUCAUGGUGGGGCCUUCUGCAAGUCUCCCCAUCUCUUUGGGCCCCAGUCUCCUCAUCCGGACCAGGGGGUAGUAACAGCAGCCCCUCAGGACUGGUGAGAUGAUGGCGGAUGUGGACGUGCCUUGUGGAGUGUGAAUCAGAGGGAAGGGAUGGCAUAUUCCUCUCCUUCUGCUUCUCUUUCAAGGUAUUCUUUAGUGGUGUUAACCAACAAUACUCUGUGCCUUUGGGGACAAUGGGAGUCAAACCAGCCUUUACAGAAAGUCUCAGAAAUAGAAUUCUGUUUCCUAAGCUAUUAAUUUCUUCACUCACUCAAAUAUUCACUCCAUUCAUUCACUCACUCACACACGUACUGAUCACUUCCCAUGUGCCACCAUCGAUCGACUAGGCACUGGGGAUAAUAAAAAGGUGGAUGGGACACGAUUCCCACCUCAGUGGGUCCCUCACUCGAGUGGGGAUGCCAGUUAAGGGAGAGAUCAUUGCCAUGAUAUUGGGUAGGGAGGGCUGUUGAUUGCAGGAGCUCUGCAGCCUGGAUUUUGUCCAGACAUUCUGAUUUCAAAUCUAUGGUCUCAUGGUCCUCAUUAACACAUUGCUUAUCUCCAUCACUAUUUUUUUUUAUUAAUUUUUUUUUUUUAUUAUCUAGGAAACGUAGUUUCCUGCAGUUCCUGCAGUUUCCUGCAGUUCUUUGGUGCUGUGGGAGUGGAAUUAGCCAGGACAGGCUAGGUUAUGCUGUGACAAUGGACAACCCAACCCCUGGGAGCUCAGAGGAGGGGUGACGUCCUCUGCCUGGAGCACACGUGUGUCAUCAAGGAGAGCCUUUCAGAGGCGGGGACACAGAGCUGUCCCUGCAGUUAGAGAAGUUACCAGCUAGCCUGGGGGGUGGGACAGUGGGACAUCAUUAAUUAAAAAUAUUUAUUGACACCUCCUGUGUGGCAGGCAGUGUUCUAAGUGUGGGGAUACAGUUGUGAACAAAACAGACAAAUCUCUGCUUUCAAGGAGAUGAUUUUCUGGUGGGGGGCUAGAGAAAGGACAAGCAGAGCAGGGAUGGUGCUUGCUGUUUUGUAUCUGGUGCUCAGGACAGGGCUUGGUGACAGGUGCCACUUGAGCAGAGGCCUGGAGGAGGCAAGGGAGUGAGCCAGAUGGGGAUUUGGGGGAAAAGUGUAGGCAGAGGGAACACAGUGCACAGUCCCUGAGGUAGAACCUUGCUGGGCCCUGGGAGAAGCCAGGAGACUAGAGCUGCAGGGAGGGUGGCGGGCAUGCAGGGAUGUGGGGGGGCGGAGCGGGGAGCAGGGGUGGGCCUGUGGGUUUGGCUGCUGGACAAGUACAGAACGCCCAGUUAAAUUUGAAUUUCAUAUAAACAACAAAUAAAUUUUUAGUAUAAUAAGUAUGAACCAUGCAAAACUGCCUUUCUCUGAAAUUCAAAUUUAACUGGGCGUCCUGUGUUUUCCUUUGCUAAAUUUAGCUAGCCUAGUGUCAGGCCUCUGUAAAACUUUGGUUUGACUCUGAGAUGAAAGCCACUGGAGGAUUUGGAGCAGAGGAGGGAUAGGAUGUGAUUAGUUUUAAGGGGAUCCUCUGGGUGCUAUGUUGUGAUCAGACUGCAGUAGGUAGGGGCAGAAGCUGUGGGUGGGGCAUGGGAAGUGAGAGAUGGGGGCUAGUAUGGCAGUGGGAGUUUGGAAACAUGAGGGGAAGCCAGACAUGUUUGGAAGAUGGAAGUGACCCUGUUUGCUAACAGGUUGGUCAUGAGGUGGCAGAGACAGAUAGGGGACAAAGAAGACUCAAUGGCCUUUGGCCUGAGCAACUGGAAAUACUGAGAUGAUGGCAUGAGAUGUGUGUGCAUGUGUGCAUGUGUGCGUGUGUGUGUGUGUGUAUGUGUGUGUGUGUUUAGACACAUUGUUAAGAUACCUACUCUGUAACCAGGAGGAGAUAUCCAGUACACGGUUGGACGCAUGGGCCUGGGCUUCUGGAGAAGACCCUUGUUUGUCACUAGUACAGAUGUCAUUGAAAGCUGUGCCUGCUGAGAGUACCAGGAUGCUGUGGAGAUGGAAGGGGCCCUGAUCCAGGCAUCUGCAAAGGCCUGAGGCUUUGGGGUGCACUCAGGGUACGAAGAGGGGUUGAGUGCUGAUGGCUAGGCCAAAUUGGUGGGGAAAAUGAGGUUGGCUCAGCUUUGAGGACCAGAAGCCAUGGAGGGCACUAAGCAGGGGAGUGCUGUGCCAGAUCUGUGUGUUAGAUCUGAGGCAGGGCGGAGGGGAACCUGGGGUCCCCUGUGUGGGGCUGGGAGGGCAGUGAGGACACUGGGGUGCCAGUCUUGGCAAAAUGGGGGGAGGCCUCACCAGGACAGCAGCAGGGGGUCAGAGCCAGGGCCACAGAAGAGAGGGUGGGUUUGUGUGGGACUGAUGGGGCUAGGUGGCAGACUGGAUGUGGGGAGUUGAAGAUGCAUGUCCAGAGCCUUCAGGCUCUUGCAGGGCUGCGGGGGGGGGGGGGGGUGGGCAGAGAAAGGAGUGCAGAGCCGGUUCUCCCCCAGCACCCCACGGCCACUGUGCUUGUUAGCAAGGAACACUCCUUAGAGGGAACAUAUGUGCUGUUAUUUUUAGGUGAUUAGCCGCACGUCGUGGAGCGUUUGUUUGCCAGUCGUGGGUAAACAAAAGCCAUUUGUCAAAAUGAGAUGUUCUAGCCUCAUCCUCCCCUCACAGGCCAGUUGCCGGCUGUGAAUUCCUGUUGCAUCAGCCGUGAGGCUAAUUAGCUCCACUGCUCCUGAAUAAUAAUGGCCACAUUCACGGAGAGGUGUCUGCAUGCCAGGAGCCUUGCAGACGGUACAAAACUUGAAGCUGCUCAAAAUGCAUCUUUGUUGGUCCCAUUUUGGAGUUGGAGAAACUGAGGCUGAACAUCUACCCUCCCCCAUCCCAGGAAUGGGGACUCAGCAAUGCCAUCAGUCACUGUGGAGCAGCUUAGGUAAUUGGAUGAGUGCUGGGAAUCCCAUCAAGAGGCUUGUUCUGUGUCUCCCCUUCUGGGUGCUGACUUUUGGGACCUCUGGGUAAAGGGGCCAGAGAAGCUCUAGAGGAAGGAGCAUGGAUGGGCUUUGGAUGGGGACAGCAAUGAGUUUUUGGCUUGUCUUUGCCACUCAAGCGCAGUAUAUAAUCUUGGACUGGGCUCUGUGAUACAAUAUGCAGGGAGUUUAGUAGGGAAUGCUCCUGAGAUCAGUAUCUUUGGAAGGGAGGGGACGGACACAGGAUUGGGCGAAGGAGGAAGCCAACCUAUCGUGCUGUCUUUAUGGAAGCUCAGUUGGUCCUGUAGGGAGUUGAUGACCCUUCAGGGCUGUUCUGAGUUGAGGCAAAAGGGCUGGGCCUUUGCACUCCAUGUUGAUCCAUCAUAGUCUGUAGGUCACUCCAGGAAUGGAGUGUGAGGGCCUGACAACCAUCUGCCAGCAACACCCACAGAAUCUGGGGGAAUAGGUCCUUUACUCCUGCAGGGGGACCUGGGUGGUGCCUCACAGAGCCCACCACGUCCACUCCUUGGGCCUCUUCUGGGAGAGGCUCCUCUAGGAGUGAAAAAGAGGGCUAGUGGAUGAACUAUAGCACCCUUCCCUCUUCCUGCUAAGGGUUUUGUGGUAUCAGGGGCUGCAACCAACAUUCUUCAACUUCCUCCUCCACUAGCCACCAGAGAUCCCUGUCACUCUCAGGUGACAUCUCUGUGGGGACGGAGACUCUGGUCACCAUGCCCUUUUCAGGCCUGGAUGGCUGCACUUGUCAGUUUACCAUCAAUAUGGGCAAGAGAGCACCAAGAGGCACCCAAAGGGAUCACCUAUGUGUCACCAUAUUCUUCCCUGUCCCCAAGGGUGACUUCCUCCUGAUGACCAGGGUCAAUUGCUCUGGCCAGGAUGGCCACUCUUCAUGCUUGCUGGUUCCCUGACACUAGGAGCCUAAAGUGCCAAGGGGGAGGCAGCUGUAGCCCAUAGUUUAAGGGACUUUACCGCGUCCACUGGCAAAAGUACCCUUCCUUUGGGAACAAGGAGCCCACAGAACCCAUAGUUGAGGGAUGGAAAGCACAAAUUCUCUACAUGGGUCACUGGGAGGAAUGUAAGCUGGGCCACUUAAGCUUCCUCUUAGACCCAUGUAUCCCACUGGGACACAGUGCCAUAUAAGGUAUUUGAUUUAAAGUGAUACUGCAUCUUGGAGGAUGGUGCCCAGACCUCAUGAAAUAUUGUUUCUGAGUUGGCUUUUCAGCGGUGCUUUAGCAGGCUGUUACACUGCCCCACCUGGCCAGAAGCUUUUGGGUAAUGGGGUGCACGAUGGCAGCCCGCUCCCCUACUUCAUGGGUUACUGCUGUAAGAUGAGUUAUUCGGUUUGACGUGAUGUUAUGUGGUAUCAUAUGCCUGUGGAUUCACCACUUCAUACACCCUUGGAUAGACAGCCUGUGGGCAAGGAAGGCCAAUCUGUGUCUGGAACAUGUCUCUAUUCCUGGUCUUUCCAGGGAGGAGGGGUCCAGAGUAGUCGUCUGUUACAUAUUGACCCAAACGAAUCUAAGGUUUUGUCCUCCUCUCUAGCUGGUGGCACAGGAUCCCUGGUGGGGCCAUUUGUGUGAGCUGAGGGUACUGGUAAAACAGUGGUGGGUGACAGGGUUCUUUUACCUGCUAUGCAGCUUGCUGGUGAACUCAAGUCCUGAUCAUGUUCAACUCAGGAUGUACCCACCUUCUGACUUCGUGGGUCUGACAGACCCGGCUCAUGAUGGGCAGUUCUGGGUAUGUGAACACUCGGCAUCUCAUAAUUGGGCGCUCUGUCUCUACCAGAGCCAGGAGCAUGCCACAACCUGUUUUUCAAAAGAUGUAGAAUUCUUCACUACAGAUGAUAUGCACUUGCUCCAGAAUUCCCAGGGUCUCCAUUGUGGUUCUCCCCAGGGAGCUUGUCACACCUCACAGGGCAUCCUUUCCUAUCACUGUCCUAUGUGUCUAAUACCAUACGGUCUGCUGAAUCGGUCAGCCCAAGUGUCAGGGCUGAUGGUGCCAGCAGCCUGAACCUUCUGCAGAGUUCUUCCUCGCUCUGGGCCUUGGUAGCCCCUCAUAUCACAGUACUCCCAGACAUGAAAUAAUUUUGCUUCCAAACCCAUCUAUCAGGUGCUGUGCUUUCUUCUUUGUGAUGGGAGGUGAGAGAUGAAAUAAUUUGUCUUUACUUUGGGGGUGGGCCCAAGUAUUUACUAGACCACAGGAUUCCUAGAGAUUUUACUGACAUGGUGGGCCCCUGGAUCUUCAUCAGUUUUCUCUCUCACCCUCUGGCCUCCAGCAAGCUAGGUGCCUCUUGUUCAUCAGCUCAAUCAGCAUGAUGUCAUCAGUGUAAUGGAUUGGUGUAUGUUCUCCAGUGUGUCCGAAUGGUCCCGAUCUCCUUGGACUACCAUGACAGAGCCUUGGUGAAAAUGGUGAAUGCAUGUUGUUGUCGGUUCUUUGUGAAUGUGUGCUGUUCCUGAUUUUCUUUCUUGAUUGGGAUAGAAGAGAAUACAGUUGGCAAAUUAAUGACUUCGUAAUAUGUACCCGAGUUCACAUUCUUCAGGUUUCACCUGGUUUCCAUGGGGGGCAGACUGGUGAAUUAAGUGGAGCCAUGAUAAGAAUUAUUACCCCUACGUCCCUAAGAUCUUUAAGAAUGGCACUAAUAUUUGCCAUCCUCCCAGGGUGUAAUACUAUUUUUGAUUUACCACCUUAGCCAGAAGGAGCAGUUUCAGAGGCUUCUGCUUGUUCUUCCCCACCAUGACCACUCUUACCUCACAGGAUAAAGGAGUUUGUGCCAAUUACUAAGUAUGUCUAUUUCAGUUAUACAUUUGGAGACUCCUGGGUGGGAUGCAGUGGGCCCACUGUGACCAGGCCUGGGCUAGAACUCCAUUUAUCACCUGACCCCCUGACCAUGAUGAUGCUUGGAGGUAGCAAAGUGAUCUUCAAUUCUGUGCCCAACUGCCCUAGAAAUGCUUGCGUUAUUGCCCUUUUCUCAGUAUUCAGUUACCUGAGGAACUUGGGGGAAGGACUGGGGAAAUCAUUGCUGCGUAUUAUUGCAGGGUCCUUCCUCCUGGGGACACAGGCUUUCCCUCAACCAGUGGAUUCCAGGUCUAAAAACCUACUCAGAUAGAGUAGUAUCCUGGUUGGCUGAUGCUAUGUUCUAGCAACUCCAUGACCCUCUGCAGGUCAGGCUCUCCUCGCUGUCCCUCCACCUUACCACUCAUCACAGAAUUGCGUCUUCCUGCCUUCAGGUGGUUUCUGUGUUUUCAGGGCCCUAUCACCCCCACUGCUGUGAGUAAGCCCGGUUUGCAAUGGCAUCUCCUACUGCCAGCUCCAGCCUCCAGAGAAGAGCCAUCCUUGAACUUCCAAGUGAUGCUGGGGCCACUCACCAGUGCACUCCUGACCGCCUUGCAAAUGUUAUCGGCCCAAUGACAUCAGCAGAAGUGGAGCAGAUCCUGAGUGUGGACAUGUCUUGGCAGGGAGAAGCCUCUGCAGUCUCAGGUGAGGAGGGAGUGCUAGCUCCCAGAAGGGAGGGGCAAGCUCCUGCAGACUCAGAGCAUUCAGGGGAUCUGGAGAGUUGGGCUUUUGCAAUAUCCCCACCCAGAUGUCCCCAUACUGCGUGUCGGGGUUUCAUUCUUUCCUAACCAGGGCUUUGACCUUGGCAGAGCAGACGUGUCUUGGCUGGAGUUGAGCCUAGGGCAAGUUUUCACAUUUUCUGUCCUUCUGUGGUGGAAGAUGACCACCUCUCUAAACAGCAACAGAAGGCCCUCUGGCUUUCACAUUUAGCUUUUAAUUGCUGACUAAUCAUACUCAGCUCUGUGUUAUUGUUUUCAGGAUCAGUGAGGUUUAACAACAGCUACCCAGUUCGAUUGUCCUUGUAGUUACUGUUUCUUCCAUAUUUCUUAUAUGCAUCACUCUAAUUAAUGGAUUCCCUGUCACCAGUCUGCCAUCCUAGUUCAUCACUCAACCAGCUGGGUGGCAGGUGAUUCUGCUCCAAACUCCCAUCCUGGUGUCUGCUUUCCUGACCCACUUUUGGUACAAACUGUAUGUAACAGGUUGGGUUCUCAGAAAGCAGACUCUGUGACAGAAUUCAGCAUGUGGGGUAUUUAUUAAGAAUUAUUCUUAGGAUCAACACCUGUGGAGGGGAAGAGACAGAAACAGGAUAGAACAGAGAGAGAAGUCAAGUUGCCCCAUAGUACUGUUUGAAGCCUCAGCUGGCCCUGCAGUGAGUCCUGAAGGUGGUGUGAUCUUUUUGAGCUGUUCUGAGUUGGGGCAAAAGGCCCUGGCAGUCCUGGGAACAGGCUGGUGACCUUGGGUGAUGUGGUCUUCUUCUGCUGAAGCAGUCUCUGAUGGUACUGAUAGCUGAGGACUGUCUGAUGGCAGCUGGGGUAAUAGGGUCUUUAUUCCUAUUGGAGCAUCUACCCCAACACCUGUGAGUUCACUUAUCUGUAAGACACGGAUAUAAAAAGUCCUAGCUAUUGCUAGGCUAAUUGAUAAAGACUCCAUAAAUGGUAGCUAUUGCAUACUUUAUAGGUAGUUAUUUGAGGAUAAAACUUCAACUCAAAAUAAUUCAAGUCAUGAAAGGAGUUUACUUGUUCACAUAAUUGGGAACAUGGAAGUGACUUCAGGAAUGGAUGGAUACAGGAGCUCAAAGAAUUUCAUCAGGAUGGGUCUCAAUCUCUCUUUAUACACACACACACACACACACACACACACACACACACACACACACACACCUGUCUUUCCAUCUCUAAGUCCCCAAUUCCUCUGAGUUGGCUUCACUCUCAGGCAGUCUGCCCUUGAAGGCUAACAAUGGCCCUCAACGGGGGGUGGGGGGACAUUAUAUCUAUCUGUAUCUAUACCUAUACCUAUACCUAUACCUAUACCUAUACCUA